GCCUACGGGGCGCAGCAGUAGGGAAUCUUCCGCAAUGGGCGAAAGCCUGAUGGAGCAACGCCGCGUGGGUGAAGAAGGUCUUCGGAUCGUAAAACCCUGUUGUUAGAGAAGAAAGUGCGUGAGAGUAACUGUUCACGUUUCGACGGUAUCUAACCAGAAAGCCACGGCUAACUACGUGCCAGCAGCCGCGGUAAUACGUAGGUGGCAAGCGUUAUCCGGAUUUAUUGGGCGUAAAGAGAACGCAGGCGGUCUUUUAAGUCUGAUGUGAAAGCCUUCGGCUUAACCGGAGUAGUGCAUUGGAAACU
rnacentral:rRNA from 1 species